AUUGAACGCUGGCGGCGGGCCUAACACAUGCAAGUCGAACGAGUGGCGGAGGGGUGAGUAAUGUCUGGGAAACUGCCUGAUGGACGGGGAUAACGACUGGAAACGGUAGCUAAUACCGCAUACCAUCGGAUGUGCCCAGAUGGGAUUAGCUAGUAGGUGGGGUAAAGGCUCACCUAGGCGACGAUCCCUAGCUGGUCUGAGAGGAUGACCAGCCACACUGGAACUGAGACACGGUCCAGACUCCUACGGGAGGCAGCAGUGGGGAAUAUUGCGCAAUGGGCGCAAGCCUGAUCCAGCCACGCCGCGUGUAUGAAGAAGGCCUUCGGGUUGUAAAGUACUUUCAGCAGGGAGGCGUUACCCGAAGAAGAAGCACCGGCUAACUCCGUGCCAGCAGCCGCGGUAAUUC
rnacentral:rRNA from 1 species